AUGGACCAGAUGUUGUCAUAUCAGUGUUUACGCGACAGAUGUUGUCAUAUCAGUGUUUACGCGACAGAUGUUGUCAUAUCAGUGUUUACGCGACAGAUGUUGUCAUAUCAGUGUUUACGCGACAGAUGUUGUCAUAUCAGUGUUUACGACAGAUGUUGUCAUAUCAGUGUUUACGCGACAGAUGUUGUCGUAUCAGUGUUUACGCGACAGAUGUUGUCAUAUCAGUGUUUACGCGACAGAUGUUGUCAUAUCAGUGUUUACGCGACAGAUGUUGUCAUAUCAGUGUUUACGCGACAGAUGUUGUCAUAUCAGUGUUUACGCGACAGAUGUUGUCAUAUCAGUGUUUACGCGACAGAUGUUGUCAUAUCAGUGUUUACGACAGAUGUUGUCAUAUCAGUGUUUACGACAGAUGUUGUCAUAUCAUUGUUUACGCGACAGAUGUUGUCGUAUCAGUGUUUACGCGACAGAUGUUGUCGUAUCAGUGUUUACGAGACAGAUGUUGUCGUAUCAGCGUUUACGCGACAGAUGUUGUCAUAUCAGUGUUUACGUGACAGAUGUCAUAUCAGUGUUUACGAGACAGAUGUUGUCAUAUCAGUGUUUACGACAGAUGUUGUCAUAUCAGUGUUUACGACAGAUGUUGUCAUAUCAGUGUUUACGCGACAGAUGUUGUCAUAUCAGUGUUUACGAGACAGAUGUUGUCAUAUCAGUGUUUACGACAGAUGUUGUCAUAUCAGUGUUUACGACAGAUGUUGUCAUAUCAGUGUUUACGCGACAGAUGUUGUCAUAUCAGUGUUUACGAGACAGAUGUUGUCAUAUCAGUGUUUACGACAGAUGUUGUCAUAUCAGUGUUUACGCGACAGAUGUUGUCAUAUCAGUGUUUACGACAGAUGUUGUCAUAUCAGUGUUUACGACAGAUGUUGUCAUAUCAGUGUUUACGACAGAUGUUGUCAUAUCAGUGUUUACGACAGAUGUUGUCAUAUCAGUGUUUACGUGACAGAUGUUGUCAUAUCAGUGUUUACGAGACAGAUGUUGUCAUAUCAGUGUUUACGACAGAUGUUGUCAUAUCAGUGUUUACGAGACAGAUGUUGUCAUAUCAGUGUUUACGUGACAGAUGUUGUCAUAUCAGUGUUUACGAGACAGAUGUUGUCAUAUCAGUGUUUACGACAGAUGUUGUCAUAUCAGUGUUUACGCGACAGAUGUUGUCAUAUCAGUGUUUACGCGACAGAUGUUGUCAUAUCAGUGUUUACGCGACUUGUGCAGCCACAUGUUGUAGUUGUCACAUUAGUUGUCACAGGUGCUACACAGAAGGCAGACAAGUGCAGUGACGCAGACAGACAUAGAGCUAUGACAGAAACUAAGAUUGAACUAAGAAAAAAAAUUAAACUAUACUUAAGGUGCAUUUUAAGAACUUAA
rnacentral:lncRNA from 1 species